rnacentral:misc_RNA from 1 species
UACCCUUGACAUGCCCGGAACUUGGCAGAGAUGCCUUGGUGCCCGAAAGGGAACCGGGACACAGGUGCUGCAUGGCUGUCGUCAGCUCGUGUCGUGAGAUGUUGGGUUAAGUCCCGCAACGAGCGCAACCCUUGUCACUAGUUGCUACGAAAGGGCACUCUAGUGAGACUGCCGGUGACAAACCGGAGGAAGGUGGGGAUGACGUCGAAUACGUAAC